CUCUCCUUCCAAUCAAAACAGGCGGUGGCCGCGGUGCUCUGCCAAAUCUCCAGAAAAUUAAAGGUCAGUCAUGAUGUAGGCCACUGAACAGCCGGUGUUCCAUCAAAGUAUGGCCGGGCGCCGUUCCAUCGACGGCCACCCAGAAUCGAGGAAGGCCAUCUCAAAAAAAAAAAAGAAUCGAGGAAGGCGCAAGCAUCGAUGCUCUGCUCCAUGGCCGCCUGUGGCGGGGACGAGUGGCGGAGAAUCCGGCUUCAUCAGCGAAGAUGACUUCCCCAGGAAUCGACCUUCGGGCUGACACAUCAUCUUAUUAGACUUUGGAAUACUUUGUUUUGUCAUCUUGAGGAGCUUGCUUUCCUGCAUCUUGCCAAACUGACACGCCUGAAAACUUAAUCAGGAUGUACCAACUUGUGGAAUUAUUUUCUAGGAUGAAGCAUAAUUGUGUAAAGAGGAUGUUUAUCGUCUAUAAGUUUCUAUAUCUCUCUGUAAGGCCCCUGUAUGGUUAUGCCAGUUUUACGAGCUAGCCAGCUAAGUGCUAGAUCUAUAUGGCGUAUUCUCAACUAGAUAUAUCAUGGCAAGCAGAUAUGAGUUAUUUUUUUAUCUGCUACUGUAUUAAACUGUGUAGUGUCCAUGUGUGGACAACUUUGCCCACUGAACAAUAAUUAGAAGAUCUGUUUAAACCUUUUCUGGACAUUUAUUUUAUUGGAAUCUUGAACUGGUAGAAAAUUGUUUCAGCUAAUGUCCUCUUCAUGUCUGAUAUUGAAUAGUUAUAAAGGAAUCAAGUCUCAUUUCUCUGCUAUGCUUAUUCAUACAAGUCUAUAAAAAUAUAUAGAUCCAUCGACACACCUCUAGAAAUUUAUUUCAGCUAAUGUCCUCUUCAUGCCUGCUAUUGAAUAGUUAUAAAGGAAUCAAAUCUCAUUUCUCCGCAUAUUUGGUCAGCUCUAAUAUUUUUCCAUGUAUUGGAGAUGGAUCUAUAAAAUAAAAAUAAAGUUAAUACUCAUACAUAUUAUGGUUUUCUUUAUAACUAACAGCUUUUAAACAGCUCUGACCUCUACUGUUUUUAUUUGAUGUAGAUUAUCAUCCUUCUACUAUGAUGUUACACUUUAUACUAAUUGAGCAUUGUUGCCUUUGAUUACAUUGCUCUGGUUUUCAUGCCCGACGUUAGAGCCAGGUAAAAAGGACUUCCAGCUUCAAUUGAAACCCAAGUCCGAUGACAUAGUAGAUAUAAAUAACAUUGUCUUUUUGAUCUACCCGAUUGGGUCGCCAAAUGAGUUGAACUAUUUGUCAUGCCUCUCAUUCUUGGAAUAUAAAUUUAUGAGCUAACAUCAUGUUUAUUUCUCACGGAUAUAUGAGUGUCAUAUCUUCAAUUAUCCAGAUGUAAAAUUGACGAUGAAUGAAUGAAGCUGCUUCACUUGAAAAUAUCAAACAUAUACAUAGUUCUGCGUACCACUUUUUCGAUGUUGAUCAAUCCUUUUUGUUAGCCACCCAUCAUAAUAUCAUUUUUAUCUGUACAUAAUUUAUGAGAAUGAUAGUUGAGUCCAUCUCUUAAAGAGAUACUUAGGAUUUAAGUCCACGUGAAAAACUACCUUGAGAUAAUUAAAUUGCCGACUUCACUAAUUCAAUUUUCCUUGGUAAAACAAAUAUUUAAAACAAGUUGAUUACGGAUGUCCCGCAGCAACGCGCGGGGAAUCAUCUAGUUAAUAUAGUUCUUCUUUUUCGUAAGGGAUAAAGAUGGCGCAUCCUUCCAAUCUUUUAUUUAUGGUCAACAUUGGUAGGGAGAUUGACCUAUUUGGUUCGUAGAACUACAUUGACCACUAAUUCAACUAUGUAUGUCUUCGUAAUGGCAGCCGGUUUGAUGUUUGACAUGUAUCCUCUGUGUAACUUCCCUCAACCCUGCAUACUUGCUCUGGACCAUUAAUACUGCAUGUUUUUCCUCGAUAUUAUCAUUGACUCUGCCAAGCAAGGUUCUAUCUCUUUACAGGGGCUCUGUAGAAUUGGGAAGCAUGACAUUCCUAUGUAUGACAGAUCUUGGACAAAAUGGGAAGCGAGACUACACAAUGAAGAUCCGAAACUUAUUAAUAUUGGCUAUUAAAUCAACCACUCUGAAGUGAUGAAUAUAGUUAUUGGUAUUUAGAAUUUAGCAAUAUAUUCACCUCAGAUGGUUAGCACACAAUACUACUUCUCUAUGGCUAACUUUGGGGAACGGAUCCUCUAACAUCAUGAAGGGAUGUCAUAAAGGUACAGUGUAAUCCCAGUGCAAAACGAAGAAGGGAUGUCACGGGCACUGUAGCAAAGAUAAUGUGCGCAAUUACUGUUCAAAGAAAAUAAAAUCCGAAAUUAAUUUUAUUGCA